UGCCUGGCUAUCUUUCUGCUCUGUGUUCGAUUUUGGAGAAGUGUGUUUCCGCAGAUCCCCAAACCGAAGGAUGAUUUAAAGGACGCAUUUAAGUUCGCACAACAUCAGGCUCUCAUCCGCUGCAAUUCCUGGGACACGGAGGAAGUCAUCAGCAACAUUGAGGUGGUGGGAUGUCCGGACAAGC